UGAUCUACUAUUCCGCGCAGCUAUUUAGUACGAGAGGACCGGAGUGAACGCACCACUGGUGUUCGGGUUGUCAUGCCAAUGGCAUUGCCCGGUAGCUAAGUGCGGAAAAGAUAAGCGCUGAAAGCAUCUAAGCGCGAAACUUGCCUCAAGAUGAGUCUUCCCUGGGCCUUUAAGGCCCCUGAAGGAACGUUUAAGACUAAGAC
rnacentral:rRNA from 1 species